rnacentral:rRNA from 1 species
AGUGAACGCUGGCGGCGUGCCUAAUACAUGCAAGUCGAACGAAGUGGCGCACGGGUGAGUAAUAUAUAGUUAAUCUGCCCUACCCAGAGGAACAACAGUUGGAAACGACUGCUAAUACCUUAUAGUGUAGGAUGAGACUAUAUCGUAUCAGCUAGUUGGUAAGGUAAUGGCUUACCAAGGCUAUGAAGCGUAACUGGUCUGAGAGGAUGAUCAGUAACAUUGGAACUGAGACAAGGUGCAAACUCCUACUGGAGGCAGCAGUAAGGAAUAGUGCGCAAUGGGGGAAACCCUGACGAAGCAACGCCGCGUGGAGGAUGACACUUUUCGGAGCGUAAACACCUUUUAUCAGGAAAGCGGUACCUGAUGAAUAAGCACCGGCUAACUCCGUGCCAGCAGCCGCGGUAAUUC